GGGGGGAUAUUGCACAAUGGGCGAAAGCCUGAUGCAGCGACGCCGCGUGGGGGAUGAAGGCUUUCGGGUUGUAAACCUCUUUCGCUAUCGAACAAGGCCCGCUUAGGGUGGGUUGAGGGUAGGUGGAGAAGAAGCGCCGGCUAACUACGUGCCAGCAGCCGCGGUAAUACGUAGGGCGCGAGCGUUGUCCGGAAUUAUUGGGCGUAAAGGGCUUGUAGGCGGCUUGUUGCGCCUGCUGUGAAAACGCGGGGCUUAACUUCGCGCGUGCAGUGGGUACGGGCAGGCUUGAGUGGGGUAGGGGUGACUGGAAUUCCAGGUGUGGCGGUGGAAUGCGCAGAUAUCUGGAGGAGCACCGAUGGCGAAGGCAGGUCACUGGGCCAUUACUGACGCUGAGGAGCGAAAGCAUGGGUAGCGAACAGG
rnacentral:rRNA from 1 species